rnacentral:rRNA from 1 species
CUACGGGUGGCAGCAGUGGGGAAUAUUGGACAAUGGGCGCAAGCCUGAUCCAGCCACGCCGCGUGAGUGAUGAAGGCCUUCGGGUCGUAAAGCUCUGUGGAGAGGGACGAAAGUCUGUCGGUUAAUACCCGGCAGUUUGACGGUACCUCUUUAGCAAGCACCGGCUAACUCCGUGCCAGCAGCCGCGGUAAUACGGAGGGUGCAAACGUUGCUCGGAAUCAUUGGGCGUAAAGCGCACGUAGGCGGCUUGGUAAGUCGGAUGUGAAAGCCCUCGGCUCAACCGAGGAAGUGCAUUCGAAACUGCCCAGCUUGAGUACGGGAGAGGAUCGCGGAAUUCCCGGUGUAGAGGUGAAAUUCGUAGAUAUCGGGAGGAACACCAGUGGCGAAGGCGGCGGUCUGGACCGAUACUGACGCUGAGGUGCGAAAGCGUGGGGAGCAAACAGGAUUAGAUACCCGGGUAGUC